rnacentral:tRNA from 1 species
AAAUAAGAAGCAAUGCCUUGCAUUUAGUUUCGACCUAACCCUUGAUAUUUAAUAUCCUUAUUUA